GGAGAGAUGGCCGAGUGGUCGAAGGCGCACGCCUGGAAAGUGUGUAUACGGCAACGUAUCGAGGGUUCGAACCCCUCUCUCUCCACCA
rnacentral:tRNA from 1 species